UUCAUUAAUGUAGCUGAAAAUGACUUGGAUUUCUGACCCUCUUGUCUGGGUUACAAGCCUGUGCCAUUUCGCCAUGGGGAGGCCUCAGUUAGGGUCUCUUGGGAUGCAUCUCCUCACUGAGGUGUUUACCUCACUGAGGUAAUUUUUUUUCUUUUUUCUUUUUUUUUUUUUCCGGAGCUGGGGACUGAACCCAGGGCCUCGAGCUUGCUAGGCAAGCGCUCUACCGCUGAGCUACAUCUCCAACCCCACUGAGGUGGUUUUUAAUUGCAGUCAUUUUAUAGAGCCUCCUAACACCCCAAGAGUCAACAGUUCUUAAAAAUUCAGUUCCAUACAGCUGUGCACCAGCUUCCUGACCUUGUUCAUUUGUCAAACAGACUGAAUAUUCCUGGCUUGCAUCUCCUGGCUCCCCAGACUGCCACAAACACUAAACAUACCUCCAGAAUAAGGCCCUGCAGUCUUCCUAGCCCCUUGAAAGCCAAAAUAUCAGUUUGACCUAGGAUCUGCCAAUCAAGGGGCAUUCGGGUUCCUUUGGACUAAGACACAGAAGAGGAAGAGGGGACUUGGAAGCCUAACACUCUGGACAGGCUAAAGGGGCACGGCUUGCAGUUUCUGGUUAUGGUACUCCAAAGCCUAACUCUGGCCUUCCCAACUCUCAUCCAGGUUACUUGUACUCCUUCCAAAGUUUCAAACAGCUUCCAAAGACUAGGCCAUUAGAUACUGACACUCAUUUUGGUGAUUACUUAAAUUUUUAUAAGAAUAUACAUAAUUUUUAAAUUAUUAAAUGUAUCUAAUUAUGUGGGUGGCAUGCACAUGCCAUAGCUCUCAUGUGGAGGUAAGAGAACAGCUUUCAGGAGCUGGUUCUCUCCAUCCACCAUGAAAGUUCCAGAGAAGAAUACUCAAGUUGUCAGGCUUGGCAGCAAACAACUUGACCUACUGAGCCAUGUUACCGGCCUGAUCACUUUCAGGCCUAUUGGAACAAAACAAAAAGUCAAACAAGAUAGGCACUUGGGAAGCCAUAGUGCAGCAUUUCAAGUCUGGGGCUAAUCUGGGCUGCAAAGCAAGACCAUGCCAGUACUUGUAGGACACUAACUGAUGGUUUGCCUUAUCUUACACAAAGUGAUUUUUAAGCACAUUUGAUCACUCAGCAUGUUAGAACUCUACUCAAAAAGCCCAAAACUAAAGUAGAAGCGAUCUUCAAAAAAGAUCUAAAAUGUACCUGUACUUUUUUCUUGAUGGCUACUUGACUACAUCUGUAAUCAAUUAAAACCCAAUCAACUAGGUACACCUGUGAGGGAUUUUUCUUAAGUCAUUUGAGGUGGAAAGACCCAUGUUUAAUCUGGAUCUUUUGAAGUGAGAAGACACACCUUUAAUCUGUAUUUUUGAGGUGAAAAGACCCACUUUUAAUCUAGGCCACACCUUCUGCUAGCAACCAUGGGAGAAGGACGCUUGCUCUCUCUUGGCCUGCUUGCUCUCACUGGCAAGUCCAUCUCUUCACUGUCAGGAGAACCCACUUCUCUAGGAUGUACACUGAAGACCAGCUGAGACAUCCUGCCUUGGGGACUGAACGACGACUGUAUCCUUGGACUUUCUCUUGGUAGACAACCAUUGUUGGAUGAGCUGGACCACAGCCUGUAAGCCAUUCUAGUAAUCCAAUGUAUUCAUUUUAGCAGUUCUGUUCCUCUAGAGCAGUGGUUCUCAACCUUCCUGUUGUGACCUCAUGUUGUGGUGACCCCCAACCAUAAAAUUAUUUUUUAUUCUACUUCAUAACUGUAAUUUUGCUACUGUUAUAAAUUGUAAUGUAAAUGUCUUCUGACAGUUUUAGGUGACCCCUGUGAAAGGGUCAUUCAACACCCCCAAAGAGGUUGAGACCCACUGUUCUAAAGAACUGUGGUUAAUACAUUGUACUUAGUAAAUGUCCUACUGAGUGACUGUUUUGACUGGAGAAGGUUUUAAGGGUAAGAGUAAUUGACUUCCAGAUAAGAAAAUCAGUGGUUUCAGUUUCCAUCCCAUUCCCAAGAAUAGUAAGAUCUGGAGUCCCAUAUGCAGGCCAGGACUGAGACUGUCUGGGGUGGGUCUGCACUGAGAGAGAGGGAUUUGUUCUUUGGAAGUGUCUCUGGCAUUAUAUUUGGUUUCAUUUAGGAACUUCUUCCUGAGCUUUAAGAAAGCAGAUAGUAGGGGCUGGGGAUUUAGCUCAGUGGUAGAGCGCUUACCUAGGAAGCGCAAGGCCCUGGGUUCGGUCCCCAGCUCCGAAAAAAAGAACCAAAAAAAAAAAAAAAAAAAAGAAAGCAGAUAGUAAAUGGAAUGCACAAUCAACCCUCCAAAUUUAAACUAUCAUCAAAAUCACAGAACCAUCAAGAUCUCACUUCCACAUUUAGACAAAAGCGCGUUAACACACUUCAAAGCCAUUUUUGGUUUCAAUAUAGUUUAUUCUGAUGAAGUUACAAAAGUAGGUAUAAAAUACUUUUUUAAAAAGUACAGUUAACGACUUAGAAAAAUAGAUAAAGCCCUAAAAGUUUUAAAAAUACAACAUAAAUUUUUUACGUGAGGAAUAUUUUAAGUUAUUUUAGAUGGUAACGAAGACUACUUUAUGCAAACUAUUUUUGAGGCAGACCAACACAGAAUGCUGUUUUAUAACUAGUCCACAGCACACUGGCCAUCCAGAAUGGCUUUACAGAAAACUAUGUGAUACGUUCUGAUGAGAAAACCCGAGUGAAUUUCAAUGCAGUUGCUUCAGUAAAAUUACUGCUGCCACAUGUGCUCCAAAGCCCAUCAAAGCCCUGCAUCAAAAUUGAAUGUAAAGUCAGGAAGACCAAAGACUACUGUGGCUUCCUUCUUUGUCAGAACUCUCACUGACCUCAGGCGGAAAGAACAUGACUGCUAAAGGUGCUCAGCAGCGCAUGCCCAGGCUGGCAGUGUUUCAGGACUCCAUUCUGACUGGGGAGUGGACACACACUUGUAGGGGCCUCACUCUUCAGUCUUGAUUUGUUUAUGUGCCUGAGGUAAUGACAUGUCUGAGAAGCUAUGAGACGCUAUAUUUAGUAUGAUCUUGGGGCUCAGAGAGAAGCCAAGAGUACAAACAGGAAACCUCACCGCCAGGACUGUGCCUGUGCCUUUGCUACAAGCCAUGGAGAACAGAGACCUGCAAUUCUCCAGUGAGCAGUUGUGUGAACUAAACUAGCUCUGCAGGCCAAGGAGCUGCAGAUAAAAGGACCCCUGGCUAACUGGCUGCUGGUAAGACACUUUACUCAAUCAGCAGAGUAACAAUAUAGUAGCAGUUGACACAAAAAUUGUACAAGAGAAGUGUAAGUAUUUUUUAUAAAUCUAUCAUUGGCCAAGGUUUUUUUUUAAUUUAAUGUAUUGGUGUUUGUCCUGCAUGCAUGUUUGUGUGAGGGAGUUGGAUCCACUGGAACUUGAGUUACAAACACUUGUGAGCCACCAUAUGGGUGCUGGAAAUUGAACCAGGGUCCUUUGGAAGAGCAGCCAAUGCUUUAAACAAUGUGCCAUCUCUUCAGUCCCCAAUAUCCAAGUUUUUCAAGUCCUGAAAGUUAAAGCACCACAGGGCUAAGGCAGAAUUCACCAGUCAAUCGGAAGUCACUGCAACAAAGUCCAGAGAGCAGAAUCAGACAGAACAGCUGACUCCUGCUGAGGGGAGCAGGAGAGCCAUGAAAUAUGCAGAUAAACCCAGGACAGACUGAUUUCUUCAGAUGUUAUAAAUGAGCCCUCUAGCCAAAGCAGAAAGACAAACUCCUCCUCCCAUGUCUUUGCCUCACUGAGCAACAGCGCAGUGUGCACACUGCUGAUUAAGGCAGGUUGGUGUGGGAGUCUAGCACUGUUUUCAAUGAUAAAAGGAAAAAAGGGGAGGGGGACACAACCAAAAACAGAGAUACUCUUUUUCACCAGCAAGGCUUUGCUUUAUAUCCCACUAGGGGCUGCCUCCUCCGUAUCUUAACAUCUACCAUUGGGAGCUCAGACAUGGAGAGGGCAUUUCUAUCCCCAAAAUACAUGCAGAGAAACCUUGGUUUUGAGGGUAUCGGAACUCAUAAAAAUGAUUGGGCCCUGGUUGAGAAAGAGAAUUUCAUUCCUUAAGAGACUAAAGCAGGGGUUGGGGAUUUAACUCAGUGGUAGAGCGCUUGCCUAGCAAGCGCAAGGCCCUGGAUUCAGUCCUCAGCUCUGGAAAAAAAAAAAAAAAAAAAAGAGAGAGACUAAAGCAAAUCAAAGUAAAUGGAGUCUAGGGUUGAGAGGUGAAACAUUCUU